GGGCCUAUAGCUCAGUUGGUUAGAGCGCAUCACUGAUAAUGAUGAGGUCGCUGGUUCAACUCCAGCUAGGCCCA
rnacentral:tRNA from 1 species